rnacentral:snRNA from 1 species
GAAAUGCCGUCUCUCGUGAAUCU